GAGUUUGAUCCUGGCUCAGAUUGAACGCUGGCGGAAUGCUUUACACAUGCAAGUCGAGCGGCAGCGCGGGGGCAACCCUGGCGGCGAGCGGCGAACGAGUGAGUAACACAUCGGAACGUACCCUAUCGUGGGGGAUAACGAAUCGAAAGAUUCGCUAAUCCCGCAUACGCUCGCAAGAGGAAAGCGGUAACGCGCUUGAGGAUGAGCCUGCGGCCCAUCAGGUAGUUGGUAGGGUAACGGCCUACCAAGCCUAUGACGGGUCCCUGGUCUGAGAGGACGACCAGGCAGACUGGGACUGAGACACGGCCCAGACUCCUACGGGAGGCAGCAGCAAGGAAUUUUCCCCAAUGGACGCAAGUCUGAGGGAGCAACGCCGCGUGGAGGAUGACGGCCUUCGGGUUGUAAACUCCUUUUGCUGGGGAAGAUAAUGACGGUACCCGGCGAAGAAGCCCCGGCUAACUCCGUGCCAGCAGCCGCGGUAAUACGUAGGGUGCAAGCGUUGUCCGGACUCACUGGGCGUAAAGCGCACGUAGGCGGUGGUCUGCGUCGGUGCUGAAAGCGCCAGGCUUAACCUGGCGAGGCGUCCGAUACGAGACGACUCGAGGCAGGCAGAGGAUGGCGGAAUUCCGGGUGUAGUGGUGAAAUGCGUAGAGAUCCGGAGGAACGCCUGUGGCGCAAGCGGCCAUCUGGGCCUGACCUGACGCUGAGGUGCGAAAGCGUGGGGAGCGAACCGGAUUAGAUACCCGGGUAGUCCACGCUGUAAACGAUGCCAGCUCGGUGUCUGUCCCCAUUACGGGGGUGGGUGCCUAAGCUCACGCGGUAAGCUGGCCGCCUGGGGACUACGAGCGCAAGCUUAAAACUCAAAGGAAUUGACGGGGGCCCGCACAAGCAGCGGAGCGUGUGGUUUAAUUCGACGCAACGCGAAGAACCUUACCCAGGCUUGACAUGCAGGUGCAUACGGCGGAAACGUCGUAGCCUUCGAGGGUUCUGCACAGGUGCUGCAUGGUUGUCGUCAGCUCGUGUCGUGAGAUGUUGGGUUAAGUCCCGCAACGAGCGCAACCC
rnacentral:rRNA from 1 species